rnacentral:rRNA from 1 species
GCCAGACUCCUACGGGAGGCAGCAGUGAGGAAUAUUGGUCAAUGGGCGCGAGCCUGAACCAGCCAAGUCGCGUGAGGGAGGACGGCCCUACGGGUUGUAAACCUCUUUUGCCGGGGAGCAACGGGCGUCACGUGUGGCGCCACUGAGAGUACCCGUAGAACAAGCAUCGGCUAACUCCGUGCCAGCAGCCGCGGUAAUACGGAGGAUGCGAGCGUUAUCCGGAUUUAUUGGGUUUAAAGGGUGCGCAGGCGGCACGGCAGGCCGGCGGUCAAAUCGCGGGGCUCAACCCCGCCCAGCCGUCGGAACUGCCGGGCUAGAGUGGGCGAGAAGUGCGCGGAAUGCGUGGUGUAGCGGUGAAAUGCAUAGAUAUCACACAGAACACCGAUUGCGAAGGCAUCUGACGAAUCGGAGAUUGACGCUGAUGCACGAAAGCGUGGGUAUCGAACAGGAUUAGAUACCCCCGUAAC